AUGCCGCCGGAUCCGGGAACAGGGCAUCGCACCCUGCAGCCGCCGUUCGGGUCGAGCGGGGCGGCGGCGAACGCCGGUGCUCCUCUGCUUCCUCGACCUCCAAGGACGCAGGCCCCGGAUUCGUGCUCGCCUUCUUCCUCCACCAGCCUUGGUGCCCAAUUCCCUACAGCCGCCGUCGCCGUCGUGGAUUCCCAAGGUCCCAUCCGCCUCUCGUCUUUCCUAUUUCGAUUUUCACCGUCGAUGUGUGUGUGUGUGUGUGUGUGUGUGUGUGAUCAAUUUGCUUUUUUUGAUUCCAAGCAGCAGGCGAGGAGCAUGAGGACCGAGCUCGAGCGCGACCACGACGCAGCGCACAAGGUCCCUGUUUCCUGCACAAGUAUACACAGCACCUUGCUUGGUUGGGGAGCAGCAACAUCAAGGCUGUUGAACAAACAACAAUAUCGAGACGUUGAACAAAUAGCAACAUCUGUUGCUGAUAGCGUACUGAGGUGUUUCAGCACCAACGCUUGGAUGACCAACGAGGAACAAGCAAUGGCGGUGUCUGCCGAUUUGCCGCCUCAACAAGGUCUCGUUCCUCCCUGGUUUGCGCAAGCUUCGUCAGGCAACUGCAGAUCCCGUACGACCAUGGCCCACACCCCUGAAGCUUCCCCUGUCCGCAACAACUUCUGGAUCAAAGGAUUGUUGCUUAAUCCCAGGCUGCUCUACCUUGAAGGAAAAGGGGUCGUCCUUGAGAUCAUAUAG
rnacentral:rRNA from 1 species